AACCCCCCCCCAACGGUUACCUGGUGAACAUCUUGUAGAACAAAACAAAGAAACUUGGCUAAAACCUGGAACAGGCAGUUUAGGCUCCCCACUUCUGGCAAAACUUGAGGUUCAGUGAGGCCCAGAGCCCACUUGGGAUCUGGUCCAGUUCCCAGCCUUGGGAAAGGUUGUUGUGGGUGUGGAGAAGUAGAGACUGUACCUCCCUGCUCUGUCCCUGAAGGGGCUCCCAGGCAUCUGCUGGGAUGAGCUGGGAAGUGGGUAGAGGGGCUGAGAUCAGAAGAGGGAGGAGAAUGUCUUCUUGUUGCUAAAAAUAAAACAACCCACUCUCCUCACCCCAAUGGCUGCAGUCUCUGGCCCUGGCAGCACUGGGAGGCGUCUGAACACGUACAGAAUAGCAGGCCUUCCAGAUGAGGAGUGGAUUGCAGUGCCAACCAUGUGGAUGUGGGUCUUCCCCAGAUGGGCUUGGGCACAUCUGGCCCGUCUGCAGCAUUUUCUGCAUCCAGGUGAUCCAUCUCUUCCCUGCCUGGUGUAGUGGAGAACUUUAUUCUGUGUUAGCACCAGCAUUUCUUAUUUCUGCCCUGUUCUCUGAGCCCCCAUGAUCCUGGUUUAAAGGGCAGCUGCCCGGGUGUGCCGAAAGCAAGAUAGACUAUGUUUCAUUUCUCAUCUGCUGCCAGGGUAUCUCACAUGAGAGAUAAUUCAUUUCUAUCAGUGAUAGUACCAGUCCCAUCUACGGUGCUGAGCUCCUAUUACAAGGAUUUAUUUCAUCCAGUCCUCCCAGAAAUCCAUUGAAUCCAUUGAAGUCUAUUCCCAUUUUCCAUAUGAGGAAAUGGAGGCGCUAAGAUGUUAAGACAUUCAUCCAAGGUCACACACGCAGGUAGUAAAUGAGGAAGUCUGGAUUCCAACCCAGGUCUUUUUGACUCUAACAGGUUUUCUGCUUCCCUACAUCUGAUUUCCUAUCAAAAUACCCACUUUUCCCCAAAGAGGAAGUCACAGGGUGAGGAAAAAGACAACACUUUGCUCUUUAGUCCUCCAAAAAGUCAAUGACCAUAGGAUAAAGAGUCUGGAUCCCACAUCCCCUCCAGAGCAUUUAUUCCAACUCUGAAUGAGACAGACACUGUCAUUAUUACCCCACUUAGAGAGGCAGGAAUGAACUCAACGAGGUUGCACAAGUUGCUCACUCCCCAUCCAUUCUGCACAGAGCCCUGGCUGUCCCAGUCCAAGUCUCCCAGCUUUGUAGAUUACCACAUAUGGGACUAUUUAACCAAUGAAGUUAGACCUUGCAUUGUGCUGUGAAAUUGCUAAGUUUUCUCUUUUUCAUGUUUUAAGUAUUUCUGCAAAUAUUAUUUCAGGAUCCAACUUUCUCUGCAUUUAUGCCUCUCUGAGACUCAUACCUUUUCCAUGUAUGUAUCCAUCUGUAUUGUGAAGCCAUCAAGGAAACAGAACAAGGAGUUGCCCCUUAUCUGUGGUCAGAUGAUACUCAGAGACCUAUACUCAUGGUACUUCACAUAUAAUAUCACAUUUAAUCGUCAUAAAACUCUUCAAGGGAAGCCAGGCACUGUUCCAGGCACUCGGGAUUAUAGCACGAAGAAAAGCAGACAAAAUCUUUACCCUGGUGGAGCUGACAUUUCCCCAGCAGGACGGUGUGCAGACAUGAAUAAAAAGAUUGAUCAGCCAUGUCAAUGACUCAGCCUCUUGAGCCUCAGUUUCUUCUUCCAUGAAAUGGGAAUGAUAACAGUUACACUUGUUCUUCUCUCAGAUGAUGAUUCUGAAGAUCAAACAAGGUGAUGGGUAGAAAGAUGCUUAAAUGGUGAUACAUGGAAAAUGAAUUUCGGAGCAAACCAUCUUCCCAGGCAGGGACCCUGGAUCUUCUAACACCCAGCAAUGAAAUGAAAACCCCAAGAAGGAGUUACCACCCCACUCAUAGAGGAAGACAACAAUGCAGAGAGAGGUUGGAUCACUCACCAAAGCCACACAGGACGUGGCAGAGCUGGAAUGUGAACCCAGGGUCAUCUCAGGUUGGCCGCAUGCCUCAGCUGAUGAUCCCAGCUCCUGUCAAUGCCACCUCUCCACUUGACUGUCUCCUUCCAGACUUGAGCAGGUAUGAGCUGGGAAGAAUGCAGGCAGGGCAUGCCCGUGUGCCAGCUCUGCACAGCUGGAGAGAUGAGGCAAGACGUGGAGGAGAAGCCGGGGAUUGUCUGGAAGUCUAAGGGUGUUGUUUGCCCCUUGGGCUCCAGAAGAUGCAUGCCAGGACCUGGGGUGGCACCACAAGGAAGCAACAGAGAGGAGAUAAAACUCACAGCAGACAGAUUUGCCUUAACAACAACUGUCUUGAAUUAAAACACACUUUUCAAGAAAACAAAUAUCAGUUCAAUCAGCAAAUAGCAGAGAAGUUUCUCAUCAUAAAGGCAAAGAAGGGCCCAGUUGCUGACCAGUGUAAGAGCUUCAGAAGAGGAGAGGGGAGAUGAGAUGGCCAGAAGGAGCAAGAGCACCAUACAUCCCUGGACAACCUCAUUCUAAUGGGUCAGGAACUGGGACGUGCAUUUUGGAGUGCAGGAGAAGUGGCAACUCACAAAUGCUAGAUUUUCUUCUAGAGAUGACCAAGCUGUAGUUCUCAAAGCAGUGGCACUAGGACAGAAAACUCUCACACUUUGACAUGCACACACAGCCCCUGGGGAUCUCGUUAACAUGUAGAUUCUGCUUCCGUAGGUCGGGCUGAGAUUCAUUUCCAACAAGCUCCUAGAUGAGGUCCAUUUUGCUGGUCCAUGAAUCACACUUACAAUAAGUAGCAAGGCAUAGGAGGAUACUGACUUUGCUCAGUGAUGCUUGUGCUUCCCUCCAAACUAAAAUAAAACAAAAGCAGACAUCAAUGGCCCAUUUCAA